UAAUACGUAGGGUGCAAGCGUUGUCCGGAAUUAUUGGGCGUAAAGAGCUCGUAGGCGGUCUGUCGCGUCGGCUGUGAAAACUCGGGGCUCAACCCCGAGCCUGCAGUCGAUACGGGCAGACUAGAGUGCUGUAGGGGAGACUGGAAUUCCUGGUGUAGCGGUGAAAUGCGCAGAUAUCAGGAGGAACACCGGUGGCGAAGGCGGGUCUCUGGGCAGUAACUGACGCUGAGGAGCGAAAGCGUGGGGAGCAAACAGGAUUAGAUACCCUGGUAGUCCACGCCGUAAACGGUGGGUGCUAGGUGUGAGCGGUAUUCCACGCCGUUCGUGCCGCAGCUAACGCAUUAAGCACCCCGCCUGGGGAGUACGGCCGCAAGGCU
rnacentral:rRNA from 1 species